rnacentral:rRNA from 1 species
GACGAACGCUGGCGGCGUGCUUAACACAUGCAAGUCGAACGGAAAGGCCCUGCUUUUGUGGGGUGCUCGAGUGGCGAACGGGUGAGUAACACGUGAGUAACCUGCCCUUGACUUUGGGAUAACUUCAGGAAACUGGGGCUAAUACCGGAUAGGAGCUCCUGCUGCAUGGUGGGGGUUGGAAAGUUUCGGCGGUUGGGGAUGGACUCGCGGCUUAUCAGCUUGUUGGUGGGGUAGUGGCUUACCAAGGCUUUGACGGGUAGCCGGCCUGGGAGGGUGACCGGCCACAUGGGGACUGAGAUACGGCCCAGACUCCAACGGGAGGCAGCGGUGGGGAAUAUUGCACAAUGGGCGGAAGCCUGAUGCAGCAACGCCGCGUGCGGGAUGACGGCCUUCGGGUUGUAAACCGCUUUCGCCUGUGACGAAGCGUGAGUGACGGUAAUGGGUAAAGAAGCACCGGCUAACUACGUG